UGCACGGUGUCAGAGGGAAGCCCUCAGC
rnacentral:piRNA from 1 species